UGGGGAAUUUUGCACAAUGGGCGCAAGCCUGAUGCAGCCAUGCCGCGUGUAUGAAGAAGGCCUUCGGGUUGUAAAGUACUUUCAGCGGGGAGGAAGAGAGUAAAGUUAAUACCUUUGCUCAUUGACGUUACCCGCAGAAGAAGCACCGGCUAACUCCGUGCCAGCAGCCGCGGUAAUACGGAGGGUGCAAGCGUUAAUCGGAAUUACUGGGCGUAAAGCGCACGCAGGCGGUUUGUUAAGUCAGAUGUGAAAUCCCCGGGCUCAACCUGGGAACUGCAUCUGAUACUGGCAAGCUUGAGUCUCGUAGAGGGGGGUAGAAUUCCAGGUGUAGCGGUGAAAUGCGUAGAGAUCUGGAGGAAUACCGGUGGCGAAGGCGGCCCCCUGGACGAAGACUGACGCUCAGGUGCGAAAGCGUGGGGAGCAAACAGG
rnacentral:rRNA from 1 species